UACGUAGGGGGCAAGCGUUGUCCGGAAUCAUUGGGCGUAAAGCGCGUGUAGGCGGCCAGGUAAGUCCGUUCUGAAAGCCCGGGGCUCAACCCCGGGAGGCGGAUGGAUACUGCUUGGCUCGAGUCCGGAAGAGGCGAGUGGAAUUCCCGGUGUAGCGGUGAAAUGCGCAGAUAUCGGGAGGAACACCAAUGGCGAAGGCGGCCUUCUGGUCCAGUACUGACACUCAAGUGCGAAAGCGUGGGGAGCAAACAGG
rnacentral:rRNA from 1 species